CAAAACGGAGUUUGAAUUUAAGUUACAAAUCUGACUCACUGUUGGCACGGGACCUUAACAGGUUUUAUGUCAGAUUUGACUCACAUGAUUUAAUAGUAAACACUCUGAACAUAAGACCAGUUUUUUGGCAUCGCCUUCAUUUUUCCCUUCCUUCAAUGAG